CGGGGAUAACAGGCUAGUCUUGUCCAAAGUUCACAUCGACGACAAGGCUCGGCACCUCGAUGUCGGCUCAUCGCAUCCUGGGGCUGGAUAAGGUCCCAAGGGUUGGGCUGUUCGCCCAUUAAAGCGGUACGUGAGCUGGGUUCAGACCGUCGUGAGACAGGUCGGUCUCUAUCCGCUGUGGGCGUCGGGAGUUUUGAGAGGAUCUGCCCCUAGUACGAGAGGACCGGGGUGGACGGAGCGCUUGUGUGUCGGUUGUCGUGCCAACGGCACAGCCGAGUAGCAAUCUCCGGAGCAGAUAACCGCUGAAAGCAUCUAAGUGGGAAACUGACCUCAAGAUGAGACUCCCCAUCGCGAAAGCGAGUAAGACCCCAGGUAGACGACCUGGUUGAUAGGCGGGAGGUGGAAGCGCAGCAAUGUGUGGAGCUGACCCGUACUAAUGGUCGAGGG
rnacentral:rRNA from 1 species